AGAAAUGUGCCCGAAUUCUAGGGAUUACUUUGAUAGAGUAAACUAUAGAGGUUAAAAUCCACUCAUUUCUU
rnacentral:tRNA from 1 species